AAUUUAAAACUGCCUCAGCCACGUGAUUUGGGAGGCUUAUUCGUGUGUGCAUGGAGGAAGGCCUUUCUUAAAUAUUUCAUGAGGAUUCGUGCCUCUGGCCUGAUCGGCUAGACCUCUCUGACUGCAGAAUAAGUGAAAAUGUUGUAACAACGGAACAUGCUUUGACCCAGUAGAUUAUAACUGCUCUGAAAAAGCCAUCGCACUCUCUUAGAGGUUGAACCAUGGAAGUUGGACCAUCCCUUAGGGUCAAAGGAGUCUCUUCACUGAACUCCUGCCUUAUUUGGUUACAUCCUCAACCGAUCCUAGCAAGAAUCCCUCGGGUAUGAGUGUCAGCUUUGAAAACGAAUGAACCUGCUCCUGAAGCAAUGCGGCCUCAUUGAGGAGAAGUCAACACCCUCACCGAGAUGCAGACUCUUACAGAAUUGGAUUUGCUCAGAACACCGUCCAGCAACUACAGAGGAGACCCAGCUAAUGUAAGGGAAUUUGCUCAGACUUUGUGAGCCACACCUUCUCACGAGACCCUGAUGGGAGCCUGAGUCAUCUGCAAAGUGACCUCCCGCCCUCCAGGUCUGUGCCCUCCUGACUGCAGAGCAGCCCCUUGGCUCAGCAUCCCUCUCACUCCACGACACCACAGGAGUGGAGGAACAGAUAUUAGGUACAAGUGAUGGCUGGAAUGCAUGCACCUCCUUUUGGCUCCCUCUUCAAGCCCCAUGAACACUGCAUGGAAACGGACUUGUUAAUGUCCAAGGCCCAUCAACAGUGUUGACCCCAGGAGGGACCCAGGCUGUGACAGUCCUCAGUAGCUGCAAGCACACAGAUGCGGGAAGACGCCCGGCCUGGAACGUGGAGUCCCGAGUCAGCAGUGAGGACCCCAUAAGAGCAUCUCCUUACCCCGUGGGAUCCCUGCAGCCCUGCGAGCUGGCAGCACCAGGCACUCUCGAAUUGGAAGUGAAUGUGGUGCAGAAAGAAAGCAGACUGGGCAACAGUGUGUUUAGGACACAGCGAGAUCUUCAGGUGUCUCCAGUCUCUGGGUGUCUGGACCACUGGUCCUCCCCACAGGCAGAAGCCUGCGCUCCACUCUCAGGUGGGCUCCAAGGUGCUGCCUCCCAGCCUGGCGCCUGCCCAGACUACAGGGGACCUUCCCUGGUUGCCCACAGCCCGGCCUCUCUGCCCCACUGGUUCCUGGCAGGAGCAGGCAGAGUCUUCUCGAGGAGCUGACAGUCUCAAAGAAAAACAUGCAGAUUAUACAGAUAUUGAUACUGGA
rnacentral:lncRNA from 1 species